GCACCAGUGAUUAAGUGGUAGAAUAGUACCCUGCUACGGAAUAGACCCGGGUCUGAUUCCCGGCUGGUGCA
rnacentral:tRNA from 1 species